rnacentral:rRNA from 1 species
CCUACGGGCGGCUGCAGUGGGGAAUAUUGCACAAUGGGGGAAACCCUGAUGCAGCGACGCCGCGUGGAGGAAGAAGGUCUUCGGAUUGUAAACUCCUGUUGUUGAGGAAGAUAAUGACGGUACUCAACAAGGAAGUGACGGCUAACUACGUGCCAGCAGCCGCGGUAAAACGUAGGUCACAAGCGUUGUCCGGAAUUACUGGGUGUAAAGGGAGCGCAGGCGGGAAGACAAGUUGGAAGUGAAAUCCAUGGGCUCAACCCAUGAACUGCUUUCAAAACUGUUUUUCUUGAGUAGUGCAGAGGUAGGCGGAAUUCCCGGUGUAGCGGUGGAAUGCGUAGAUAUCGGGAGGAACACCAGUGGCGAAGGCGGCCUACUGGGCACCAACUGACGCUGAGGCUCGAAAGUGUGGGUAGCAAACAGGAUUAGAUACCCCUGUAGUC